GAAACAAAAAGGGAAGCUGUGGUCCCCAUUGCCAGGCUUAGAGAGACAGGCAUCCGGGUGCCCUGCCAGUCACCCUGGAAUACACCUCUCAUGUCUGUCAAGAAACCUGGGACCUCUGGUUCUCACGAGUCUGAUUCUUCCAGAGAAACAGGUGUGCACUGUCUUGGACCUGAAGGAUGCCUUCUUCAGCCUCCCGUGGGCACAGACUCACAGCACCCCACACUGUUGAGGCUCUCCUCUGAGGAACACAAGAAUGCUGGAAUGCCUAUGGGAACCAGUACCAGGUCCUACUCCUGGGCCACUUUCGACUCAAGUUGGAGAAGCUGACUGCCUUCAAUUCUGAUACCGUCUUUCCUGAUAUCAACUCACCUAUGACUGUCAUAAGAUGAAAGACGAAACCAGCGGCUGGGAUCUUCCAAAUGAGCCUGUGACCUGGUGGCUUCUGAAAUCAUCUAAUGGCCAGGACAGACAAACCUCCCAUGACGGGAAAGCACAGGGAUGAACAUAACUUUGCCCUCAGUUGGCCACAUGGGUAAUCGUCAGGAGCAGCAGGUUCAUUUGCUGAGUGAGCACAGCAGCUUUGGAUUAAACCAGAAUGAGCUGACCCAGAAUUGAUCCAGAAAAGCUGGAAAUCACCUGGAGACUUGCUGCUGAUUAUUGUGGAAACUGCCUACAAAGUUCAGCCAGGGAAAGGACCUGGCCUCAUGGGUCCCAGAAGCUCUGUCUAAUGUUUGGCUGUGGGUCUCUGCAUCUGCUCCCAUCAGCUGCUGGAGAAAACCUCUCUGAUGACGAUUGGGCUAGACUGGUCCUGUGAGUAUAGCAGACUAGCAUUAGAAAUCAGCUCAUUGACUUUUUUUCUCGGUCCUGUUUGGUUCUGCCCUAGGUUUGUGAGCCCAGCAGCUUCCAGUUCCUGACCUCCAGACAGCGUUGGGCACGGGCUCCCUCUUGUGACUUGGGCCCCAAGUUAGACUAGUCAUUGGUUGGCCACACCCCCAAACUCUGAGCCACCAUAGCCCCAGUGCUUUUUGUCAGCAGGGUCAAAGGUUUUGUGGCUGGUUUGGUGUCCCAGUCCCACCACUGGGAGCCUGACUGCAGAUGAUGGCCAGCUCAGCCUGCAUAUCCUCCAUUGCUAGGAGUCCUCGCUAGAGUCGACCUGAUAGAUUUUAGGAUGUUUCCACUGCCCUAGGUUUCCCCUCUGCCCUUAAAUGCCCACCUAAUCCAGUCAUCUCUCUCUGCACACUCUCUCUCCACCCCCCAUCUGUUCCUCCCUGUCCCUAUCCCCACCUGCCCCCCAAUCUACCCACAAAUCCAUUCUAUGUCCCCUUCUCAGGGAGAUGCAUGCACUGCAUGCAAUAAUUGUAGUGGAUUAUCCUUUACUUAACAAAUAAUAUCCACUUAUAAGUUAUAAUAUCAUAACUGAGUACGUUAUGCCCAAAUCACAGAGUCCCCCCAAAACCAACUAGGAGACCGAGUACUGUACGUAAAAGCAAAGAGCCUUUGUUGUUACACAAGUUUGCAAACUCAGACUCUCCGUGUGUCCAAUGUAUUGGAGUGAUCAGAGAGCCCUGAGCUCAGCUGGGGUUGGGUUUUAUCAUAGCAGAGGUUGGGUGUGAGGGAUUGCUAAGGUUCAGGACCCCUGAUUAGCUGACAUUUGUUUAGGGGUGUCCUGGUGAAAAACAAUGGGUGUGUGCUGGCUGGUGGUCCUAUCUACAAAGGUUGAAACGUUAGGAAUUUCCUCUGGAUGGUCUGUUCCUGGGUGGUGCCUGGGUAGUCUCAGUUUGUGGUCUUUCUUGUAACCAGGCAUCAUCUCAGGGUAAACUUCUGAGACUCAGGCCCCUAUUGAGCUUGUCAUGGCUGGGUCCUACCUACAGAGUGCAUACCAUAUUUGUCUUUCUGUGUCUGGGUUGUCUUGCUUAGGAUUUUUUUUCUAGUUCCAUUCAUUUGCCAGUAAAUUUUAUGUCAUGUUUUCUAACAUCUGAGUUAUUCUCCACUAUGUAAAUAUACCACAUUUUCUUUAUCCAUUCUUGGGUUAUAGACAUCUAUGUUGUUUCCAGUUUCUGGCUAUUAUAAUAAAGCUAGUAUAAACACAGCUGAGCAAUUCUAAUAUUUUUCAAAAUCCAAACUUCUCUGGUAAAACUGAUAGCCAAAAGGGUCUGGAGAGAUGGCUCAGAGACGAACAAGGCUGUCAUUUACCAUUGCCAUUCUUGUCAAUGACCAGGGUUCAAUUUCCAGCACCCACACGACAGCUUAUAACCAUCCUUAGCUCCAAUUCCAGAGGAUCCAGCACCCUCUUCUUGCCUCCUCAGACCAGGCAUGCAUGCAGGGCAGUCACAGACAGGCAGGCUAAACACCAACACACAUAAAAUAUGAAUAAUAAAUUGAUCUUUAAAAUAUUAAAGGAAAGAAGCACUUGCAAUGUUUUGACUUAGGAAAAUUAUAGGAGGAGAAAGCAAAGUCCUGCCCAGCGCUGUGACAGACUGAGCAGGACAGGGAGGCUCAUACGCAUGCCUGGGGCUGUCUGCUCUGGGCCCUAAGAAAAAACACAGGUUUGCCUGGUGUCUUACGCCGCUGGGCAGUGGGGCAUCAUUAUGGUGAGCAAAUGCUAUGGGACAGAUAUAGAUAGAUAGAUAGAUAGAUAGAUAGAUAGAUAGAUAGAUAGAUAGAUAGAUAUAGACCCCAUGGACACAUGCACAUCUGAAGAGGUGACAGUGGUGAGGAGCAGGCUGAGGUUGCUGACUUCAUUGCCAUCUAGGGCCAUGGUGAUGUCUGGGCCUGGCCUGCUGCCCCAGGCCCUUGUCUGGGCUCAUGGCCCUGUUGCAGCCAUAGUCUCUGUUGAUGUCCAUGGCUCAUGAUAUGACUGAGGGCCCAAAGUAUAGGGAUGUAUAGAGUUGGCCUUAUCUUCACUGACAGCAACACUAGGGAGAACUGGUCUUGCCCCUCAUUGGGUGAAACACUCAGGAGGGAGGGUCCUACACCUCAACUGGGCAACACAAUAGAGCUGGCCCUGUCUUGGGGGACAUAGGUGAGUGCCCUUUCCCCUGCUCCACCCCAUGCCACCUGUGGCAGGUGGGAGAGCUGGCCUGAAGGUCAUCAGAGUGGGAGAGUUGUUCCUGCCCCUCACCACUGCAGCACUCCAGAGAGUGGCCUCUGCACCUUACCUGCGCAACAGAGUAGAGCUGGCCCUGGUGGUGUAGGUGUGGGAGAGAUGAUCUGAGGGCCCGAGAGCAGGAGAACGGGCCCUGUCCCUUGCUCCUUGCUGCACAUGGUGCACUAGCUGGGGCAGCACUGGAGAGCUCGCCCUGGCUGUGAGGACUGGGGAGAGCUGGCUGGCUGACCAGCCCUGCACUACCCAGACCCAGAACUGUGUGGUUCUGAGUUCACCCACUACAGCAUCCACCCCAUCUGUGAUCUGCUGGAGCACUUGAGAGGGCCGGUCGUGCAGACCCAAAGCUGCAGGAUCUUCAUGACACAGGGCAGCAACAGGAUGUCCAAGAGGAGUCCAGUGAGGGCAGAGCAUCAGUAGUGUAGCAGAAACCAGAGGCCUUGAACCAGACCAAAGGAUCUUUGCAAUGACCACUUGUAGUAAAGAUACGUGGACAAAAGGGUUUACUGCAUGAAUCACUGGGUCUCAGUGCAGCUUCCAUGAUGAGAUUUUUCUUUUCCUCUUUUUCUUUUUUUUCUCCCCCUUAAAUUUUAUUUUAGUUCAUUUUGGGGGGAGGAUGCAAGGGCAGAGGGUGGAUAUGAAGAGGUGGGGAGAUGAUUGGAAUUGAGAUAAAUGAGUGAAAAAUAAAUAAAAGGUUAAAUAAAGUAGAAAAAGAUUGUGAGGUUUGGGCAGUCUGUGGGACUGCUGGCAGUGUGACCAGGAUUUAUCCCUAGUACUUGAUCACAUUCUUUUUGGAUGGAUACCUUGCUCAGCCUAGAUAUAGUGGGGAGGGCCUUGGUCUUGCCUCUAAGUGAAGUGUCAGACUUUGAUGACUCCCCAUGGGAAGCCUUACCCUUUUUGAGUAAUGGAUGGGGAGAGAG